rnacentral:rRNA from 1 species
CAGUCGCCGCGGGAACACAGAGGGUGCGAGCGUUAAUCGGAUUUACUGGGCGUAAAGCGUGCGUAGGCGGCUUCUUAAGUCGGAUGUGUAAUCCCUGAGCUUAACUUAGGAAUUGCAUUCGAUACUGGGAAGCUAGAGUAUGGGAGAGGAUGGUAGAAUUCCAGGUGUAGCGGUGAAAUGCGUAGAGAUCUGGAGGAAUACCGAUGGCGAAGGCAGCCAUCUGGCCUAAUACUGACGCUGAGGUACGAAAGCAUGGGGAGCAAACAGGAUUAGAUACCCCGGUAGUCCCUGUCUCUUAUAC